rnacentral:rRNA from 1 species
UACGGCGGGUGCAAGCGUUAUCCGGAUUCACUGGGUUUAAAGGGUGCGUAGGUGGGUUGGUAAGUCAGUGGUGAAAUCCCCGAGCUUAACUUGGGAACUGCCAUUGAUACUAUUGAUCUUGAAUACCGUGGAGGUCAGCGGAAUAUGUCAUGUAGCGGUGAAAUGCUUAGAUAUGACAUAGAACACCAAUUGCGAAGGCAGCUGGCUACGCGAAUAUUGACACUGAUGCACGAAAGCGUGGGGAUCAAACAGG